rnacentral:rRNA from 1 species
GCGCGAAAACUUUACAAUGCUGGCAACAGCGAUAAGGGAACCUCGCGUGCCAGGUUACAAAUCUGGCUGUCGAGAUGCCUAAAAAGCAUUUCAUAGCAAGGGCCGGGCAAGACCGGUGCCAGCCGCCGCGGUAACACCGGCGGCUCGGGUGGCAACCGUUAUUAUUGGGUCUAAAGGGUCUGUAGCCGGCCGGAUAAGUCUCUUGAGAAAUCUGGCAGCUUAACUGUCAGGCUUUCAGGAGAUACUGUCUGGCUCGAGGCCGGGAGAGGUGAGAGGUACUUCAGGGGUAGGGGUGAAAUCUUGUAAUCCUUGAAGGACCACCAGUGGCGAAGGCGUCUCACCAGAACGGACCUGACGGCAAGGGACGAAAGCUAGGGGCACGAACCG